rnacentral:rRNA from 1 species
CGAUUCGAUGUGGUCUGAUAGGAUUUAUUUAUUUUCUUUAUUUGUUAGUUAGUGUUGUUUAAUUGAAUUAUUUAUUUGUUGUUGUAUAUUCUUGAUUUAAUUUUUCUGAUUAUAGUUUAUUUGUACUGUGGGGGGUUAUUUAUUGGUUGGUUUGGAAGCUGAUUUUGUUUGUCGUACCUUGUGUAUCAGGGUUCAUUAAAAUAUAUUAUUUAUUUUUUGUUUCCCGAUUUUAAGAGGAGUUAUUGGUAUAUUUUAGUUAUUGUUUCAUUAAUAUUAAUAAUAUGCUGUUAGUAAUGAGAUGUUAUUCGUCUUUGUUGGUAUCUGGUUUUCCAAGAAAUGAAUUUAAUUCAUGCGUUUUAUUUAGAUUUAUUAUUAUUUUAUUAGAUUUUAAUAUGUCGCUAAGAUUAGGGGGGAUUAGCUCUCUAUUUUAUUUUUAUAACUUUAUUUGCUUGUGAUUCUUGUUGAUUUUAUAGUGAUUUUCAAUUUGAUUAUGUUAAAAUUUUAUUUUCUUUUUGUUUGAUUUAUUGGUUGUUUAAUGUUUAUAUUGGAAUGUUCUUUUUAAUUUUGGUUGUGUUGUAAUUAUUGUGAUAUUAGUAAAUUUUAUUUUGUUUUGUUUAAAUGAUUUUAUUGUUAAUUUCUUCUGAGGAAUUAGGCAAAUUUUUGUGUCCGCCUGUUUAACAAAAACAUCUUUUCUUGUUAGUUUCUGAAGUAUGGCCUGCCCACUGAUUUUUUGAAGGGCCGCGGUAUUUUGACCGUGCAAAGGUAGCAUAAUCAUUAGUUCUUUAAUUGUGAUCUGGAAUGAAUGGCUUGACGAGAUGCGAGCUGUCUUAGGUUUUGAUGAAAUUUUUAUUGAAUUUGGUUUUUGAGUUAAAAUUCUCAAAUGUUUUUAUGGGACGAGAAGACCCUAUAGAGUUUUGACAUGUCUAUUCCUAUUUUUUUUAUUUUGUUUGUUUAUUUUUAAUAGGUUUAUUUUGUUUUGUUGGGGUGAUGGGAAGAAUUUAUUUAACUCUUCUUUGCUUUGUUACAUUUAUUUAUGGUAUUUUGAUCCAUUUAUUUUGAUUAUAAGAUUAAAUUACCUUAGGGAUAACAGCGUUAUCCUCCUUGAGAGUUCUUAUUGGCAGGGGGGUUUGCGACCUCGAUGUUGGAUUAAGGUUUAUAUUUGGUGCAGGAGCUGAAUUAUUGGGUCUGUUCGACCUUUAAAACCUUACAUGAUCUGAGUUCAAACCGGCGUGAGCCAGGUUGGUUUCUAUCUAUAAUAACUUUGUAUACUUUAGUACGAGAGGACCAGGUAUACGGAAUAAUUUUUAUUGUUGAUGAUUUUUAUUAAUUUGUUGUGCUAUUUUGGCAGAUAAGUGCAUUGGAUUUAGAAUCUAUUAAUGUAAAGUGGU